UACAGAGGUCCCAAGCGUUGUUCGGAUUCACUGGGCGUAAAGGGUGCGUAGGUGGCGAGGUAAGUUUGAUGUGAAAUCUCCGGGCUUAACCCGGAAAUGGCAUUGAAUACUCUCUCGCUAGAGGGUUGGAGGGGGGACUGGAAUUCUCGGUGUAGCAGUGAAAUGCGUAGAUAUCGAGAGGAGCACCAGUGGCGAAGGCGAGUCCCUGGACAACUCCUGACACUGAGGCACGAAAGCUAGGGGAGCAAACAGG
rnacentral:rRNA from 1 species